CCUACGGGUGGCUGCAGUGGGGGAUAUUGCACAAUGGGGGGAACCCUGAUGCAGCGACGCCGCGUGGGUGAAGGAGCGUUUCGGCGCGUAAAGCCCUAUCGGCAGGGAAGAAGGAGGACGGUACCUGACUAAGAAGCCCCGGCUUACUACGUGCAAGCAGCCGCGGUAAUACGUAGGGGGCAAGCGUUUUCCGACUUUACUGGGGGUAAAGGGGGCGCAGGCGGGAGCGCAAGCCAGGAGUGAAAGCCCGGGGCCCCACCCCGGGACUGCGGUUGAAACUGGGCGGCUGGAGUGCGGGAGGGGCAGGCGGAAUUCCUGGUGUAGCGGUGAAAUGCGUAGAUAUCAGGAGGAACACCGGUGGCGAAGGCGGCCUGCUGGACUGCGACUGACGUUGAGGCCCGAAAGCGUGGGGAGCAAACAGGAUUAGAUACCCGAGUAGUC
rnacentral:rRNA from 1 species